rnacentral:rRNA from 1 species
CAAGUCGCACGAGAAAGCGGGAGCAAUCCUGCAAGUACAGUGGCGUACGGGUGAGUAACACGUGGGUAAUCUACCUUUUAGUGGGGAAUAACGCUGGGAAACCGGCGCUAAUACCGCAUAAUCUCGAGAGAGGAAAGCAGCAAUGCGCUGAAAGAGGAGCCCGCGGCCGAUUAGCUAGUUGGUAGGGUAAAAGCCUACCAAGGCAUAGAUCGGUAGCCGGCCUGAGAGGGCACACGGCCACACUGGCACUGAAACACGGGCCAGACUCCUACGGGAGGCAGCAGUGGGGAAUCUUGCACAAUGGGGGCAACCCUGAUGCAGCGACGCCGCGUGAGCGAUGAAGCCCUUCGGGGUGUAAAGCUCUUUCGGCAGGGACGAUAAUGACGGUACCUGCAGAAGCAGCUGCGGCUAACUACGUGCCAGCAGCCGCGGUAAUACGUAGGCAGCGAGCGUUGUUCGGAGUUACUGGGCGUAAAGGGUGUGUAGGCGGUUUUCUAAGUUUGGUGUGAAAUCUCCCGGCUUAACCGGGAGGGUGCGCCGAAAACUGGGAGACUAGAGUGCGGGAUGGGAGAGUAGAAUUCCUGGUGUAGCGGUGAAAUGCGUAGAUAUCAGGAGGAAUACCGGUGGUGUAGACGGCUCUCUGGACCGCAACUGACGCUGAGACACGAAAGCGUGGGUAGCAAACAGGAUUAGAUACCCUGGUAGUCCACGCCCUAAACGAUGCAUAUUUGGUGUAGGUCAUUCAGUUGAUCUGUGCCGGAGCUAACGCGUUAAAUAUGCCGCCUGGGGAGUACAGUCGCAAGGCUGAAACUCAAAGGAAUUGACGGGGGCCCGCACAAGCGGUGGAGCAUGUGGUUCAAUUCGACGCAACGCGAAGAACCUUACCUGGGCUCGAACGGCUGGUCAACGGCAUUGGAAA